rnacentral:lncRNA from 1 species
CCUAAUUUACUUUCUCAGUCUCUGUCUUGCUGCUAGCUAUUAUCAUCUGCCUUAGCUAUAGCCCUCAUUCUCUCACCCUAUAUGUGAAACAGGUAUCAUCCCUUUCUUCAGACAUAACCCUUUUUGGUUUAUAUACCCUUCUCUUUUCAUAAAGUUGAUCAAAAGGAUCUACCCCUUUUUGCUUACUUUUAGUUAUUAGCUAACUACAACAACAGAACAGCUACGUCUCAUCAUCUCAUCCAUCAAUACCUGACCGAUCCACUUCUUUUCUGUUUUGUUUCGCCUUUCCUUCAAAGAGUAAUUAUUUCUAUACCCUGAAUCACAUAAUCGGCACAACCUCUUGACCUACCUAGCUUACCAUUUUUUCUUCUUUUUGGUAUUUUUUUGGAUUUUGGAAUGAAGCAUUAAAAGAUCAUGAAUGAUUCUGGAUCUGGGUGGAUCUGAAGCCAUAUGAGUCUCCUUUCCUAAAUUUGACUUCCAAUAAACGUUUAAAGCUAGCUAGCUCUGUUUUGUAUUUGUAUGAACAAGCUGAUUGAUCUGUCCUUUUCUCGCUUUGCCCUCUUGUCUUGCCAGUUGCUGAUGAUGAUGAAACUGAACUGUCUCGCUCGCAGCAGGAGCAGCAGCUAGUACUAGUAAGUAGUAGUAGUAGAGGCAAAUCAAAUCCCCUCCUUUCUCCCUUGCCAAAAACACCAAACAUGCAUACGUCCAUUUUUGUAAAUGGAUCGUUUCCCAAUAAUAAUAAUAAUAAUAAUAAUAAUAAUCCUCAGAGUGAGUCGCAGACAGACAUACGACUGGUUCUUUUCUCCCUUUCCUCUUGUACCUCAUUUGCUUAAUUAGCUACUAGCUCUCCUCCCUUUAUACACUCUCUGUUUCUGAUCAUCUCCUACAUAGAUAUCCCUUUUGCCUUUACUUUUCAGUUUUCACUCUCUAUCUCUCUACUUCCUUUUUGUCUAACUAAUUAAUUAAUGAUGCAAUUCACUGAAACCCUACCCGUCGUUCCACCACCACCACCACCACCCUUACACCACCACCACCACCACCAC